GUCUCUCUUGGAGUCGAUCACUAACAUUCAGGUUUUGUUCACUUUGACAGGAAGUGAAAGAAAAGAGCACGUCUAUCAUUACAUAAUAGACGACGUCAGGUUAAAGGCUGAAAAUGAAGAAGAAGCUGCACCUGGAUGUUAAAAAACAGGCUCAGGUGUGGAAAGUUUAUCUGGAUCAGCAGCUCCUGGGUCACGUCUCAGCUCCGUCACAGAUCAUUACGACCACUGGAUAAAGCUUCUGCAAAUAACAGCUGCACGGUUCACCUGAGAGAUACCUGCAAAAGCAUUUUUUAAAGCUGCUGUAAAAAACAU